UACGUAGGGGGCUAGCGUUGUCCGGAAUCAUUGGGCGUAAAGCGCGUGUAGGCGGCCCGGUAAGUCCGCUGUGAAAGUCGGGGGCUCAACCCUCGGAUGCCGGUGGAUACUGUCGGGCUCGAGUACGGAAGAGGCGAGUGGAAUUCCUGGUGUAGCGGUGAAAUGCGUAGAUAUUGGGAGGAACACCAGUGGCGAAGGCGGCUCACUGGACUGGUACUGACGCUGAGGCGCGAAAGCGUGGGGAGCAAACAGG
rnacentral:rRNA from 1 species